rnacentral:lncRNA from 1 species
GGUAAAGCAAGAUUUUUUUUUUUUUUGCAAGUUUGUUGUGCAUCUGCUUUGGAUUAUAGAUGUGGUUCAGGAAAGUCAGUUCAACUAAAAUGAUGUGAAUGUAUCCCUGUGCCACCAGUUCCAAGAACUGAACAGAAAGGGCUCAGUAGAUGUUCUUGAUGGCUGAGAGCUGGACAUUUAAAUGACCUGGGACAGGAGAAUAUUUCACUUCAGAAAGAAGUUACUGACCUAAGAAAGAUAAACAAACAGACUUCGAGGAUCUAGAGGCAGGCCCAGCCAAAGGCCCACCUGGAAAAGAGCUACACAGGCAGGCAAGCAACAGCCAGAGGUCUGCCCAGACAGCAUUGGCAAGUGUGUCCAGACCCCAGCCAGAACCCUGCCUGGACAACAGGGCAGCACAGUGAUCCAGAAGGCCACCACUCUGAACCCAGGAAUUGGCACAGGGAUGAGCAGCAGAAAAAGGCCUCUUGGUGACUUGCUGAGAACUGAAGACCACUAGGUGAGCAAAAAGUCACAUUAACAAAGGUGCAGCAGGCUGCAUCUGUUGAAAUGAGAAGACAUGUAAACAAGUCUCAAAACCAGACUUUCAGAUCACCUAAGGCAACCCCAAAGGGAAACAAGAUGGAAUAAUCUGAUACUGAACCACUUGGACUCCCUAAACUUACAAAGAAAG